rnacentral:rRNA from 1 species
CGGCGGACGGGUGAGUAACGCGUGGGUAACCUACCCUGUACACACGGAUAACAUACCGAAAGGUAUGCUAAUACGGGAUAAUAUAUUUGAGAGGCAUCUCUUGAAUAUCAAAGGUGAGCCAGUACAGGAUGGACCCGCGUCUGAUUAGCUAGUUGGUAAGGUAACGGCUUACCAAGGCGACGAUCAGUAGCCGACCUGAGAGGGUGAUUGGCCACAUUGGAACUGAGACACGGUCCAA